rnacentral:rRNA from 1 species
GACUGGGGCGGUACGUCUGUCAAACGGUAACGCAGGUGGCCCAAAGCAGGCUCAGCGUGGACGGAAACCACACGUCAAGCAAAAGGGCAAAAGCUCGCUCAAUCUCAAUUUUCAGCACAGCUUUGCUGUGCAAGG